rnacentral:lncRNA from 1 species
UGGUCAUCUUGUCUCUGUUACAUUCCCCACCACAUUUACAAAGUAAUGAUACAUAACAGUGUGGCCUUCACACAUUUACAACAUCCACGUAAUCCAUAAUAAAUUUUACAGCCCCACUCUAUCAGCUAAUUACAAAAGACUGAAGCUUGUUGCAAGUAUGUCCAAUAGGGCACCAACAUCUGCAUUUUGCCUUUCUGUCAUCCCAAUUCACUCGGUGAACCUGCUUGGUUAUAUACAUUUCCCCAAGCAGAAGCUUGACCUCUAAACAGCUCGUUUUGUGUGUUCUAGUAAAGCGGAUAGUGAUGAAGAAAUGCUAUCUAUUGCCUUUUCUUUCCUAGUGAAUAGAUCAUUUCGUGCAUCUUUCACCUUCGUACCUAAUUCACUUGAUUAUCAUACAUCAGUAUAACAUAUUGCUCUAUCUAUAGCAUAGAAUUUAAAAUAACAUUAGGUGAUGCUGUUCUAUAUUAUGUUGCAAACACAGGUGUAAUCUCCCCCAAAAAUAGCCAUGUAUCCCAUGCAAGUUUCUUUCCCUUGGAGGCAAAUGAUGAUACUUGAUCACAACCUGUAAAGGAGUGAAAGACUAAAAGUCCCGUGACCUUAAAGGUGGAAGACUUUUGGUAAUGUCAUAAACAGCUAAACAUCUGAAACUUCAAAAGCAAUCCAAAACUGAUUCACCUCAAUAUCAUGGAAAAUAGAAAUUGCAAUAACAAGGACAGCCGUAUCAACAGUCCGCAAUAUGACUCGUUGUAAUGCUUCUUCUACAGCAUCUUACACAUGCAAAAUCUUCCGUGUAUCUGCUCCAUCGUGUUUGCAAGGUGAAAAUUCACUUAUAUGAUUUGGUAUAGUUGCAUAUUACAUCAGUUCCUUUCGUAGUUAUCAUUUGAUUCUGUUCAUCAUACCCUCUUGCUGAAGUAACCAAUUGGUCAGCUAAGUAUGUGAACAGCUUCAUUUUAUUGACAUUGACCCUUAGAACUGCCUCCCAGUUUCCUGGUACUCUUGCAUCUGGAAGGACACACCUUUACCUCAGGCUCUUUUAUAUCUUGUUGAAGCUUUCAAAAGAGGGACGAAAGAUACCAGAGGGACAGUCAAGCUUGUAGAUGGAAUAUAAACUGACAACGCCAUGGCUAAAAAUGAAGAGACAAACAGACAAAUAAUAGUACAGAAGACAAAACAAUACGAGAAGUAUUCAUCCCCAAUUACCUCAAGUCGACUUACAAAACAUAACUGAUCAUGUAUGUAAGGCAGUAAAAUG